CCAGACUGGCCACGUUCAUGUACUCAGCAGAUGAGGAUGAAGCCAUUCACAAGAACAAAGGCUGGAGCAGCGCCAGCUCCUAAGGAAUCAGUCACCCAAGCAGACUUCCUGGAGGAGGGUUGUUUCCGGCUCAGGGCUGGGCGUCAUCUGCUUUACCCUCCUGCGACCCAGCUGGCUUCCUGGAUUUCAUCAGGGCCCCCAAAUAUUCAUGAGCAAACCCCUGCGGCUGGACACACUCAGGAGGGGCACCGUAAGAUCUCGGCUCCAAUUCUCUCCCUCUGAAUGAGCUGCGGUCCAGCACGUUCGCGUCAGACCUGGAGCUUGCACCACCGCCCGCCGAAACCCACUUCAAUGAUUAGCGAAGGUGCCAGGGAAAUUAUGAAAACCAUGUGACAGACAGAAAAACCAAGGCUCAAGCAAGAUGUUUGCCCAGAGUCAAACAGCUUCUUGUAGAUGGAGCCAUGGCUAGAGCGAACACAUUAGCAUCUCUGUCAGACCUUGGAAAAGACUGAAUGAUGGAUAUCCGCAAGGAAUCAUGCCCAGCAGCCUCUCUUUGGCUGGUCAUCCUAUCCCAGAUCUACAGACCUGUCUCAGCAGAAGGACCCCUGGGUACUGCUGCUGGAAUUCCAGAGCCACAGAAACAGAGAUUAAAAGCUUUGAGUCUGAACAAAGACCCGGAGGCAGGAGGACCAGGGGAUAGAGUUGACACCAGUAGCUGUUUUACAGAAAUAUUAUAUGCCAAAAGAAGAAGAAGAAGAAGAAGAAGAAGAAGAAGAAGAAGAAGAAGAAGAAGAAGAAGAAGAAGAAGAAG